rnacentral:snRNA from 1 species
ACCGAGCGGCGGGUAGAA